CCUACGGGUGGCAGCAGUGGGGAAUAUUGGACAAUGGGGGGAACCCUGAUCCAGCCAUGCCGCGUGUGUGAAGAAGGCCCUCGGGUUGUAAAGCACUUUCAGUGAGGAAGAACGCCUGGUGGUUAAUACCCAUCAGGAAAGACAUCACUCACAGAAGAAGCACCGGCUAACUCCGUGCCAGCAGCCGCGGUAAUACGGAGGGUGCUAGCGUUAAUCGGAAUUACUGGGCGUAAAGCGCGCGUAGGUGGCUUGAUAAGCCGGUUGUGAAAGCCCCGGGCUCAACCUGGGAACGGCAUCCGGAACUGUCAAGCUAGAGUGCAGGAGAGGAAGGUAGAAUUCCCGGUGUAGCGGUGAAAUGCGUAGAGAUCGGGAGGAAUACCAGUGGCGAAGGCGGCCUUCUGGACUGACACUGACACUGAGGUGCGAAAGCGUGGGUAGCAAACAGGAUUAGAUACCCCUGUAGUC
rnacentral:rRNA from 1 species